UUCUUGCCUCUCCCCGCGUUAAGGAUUGAAGCGGCAUCCUCCCGAUCCUUCGGGAGAUACAGCGGAAAGCCUGACCCCCG
rnacentral:misc_RNA from 1 species